rnacentral:rRNA from 1 species
AUUGAACGCUGGCGGCAGGCUUAACACAUGCAAGUCGAGCGAGCGGCGGACGGGUGAGUAAUGUCUGGGGAACUGCCUGAUGGAGGGGGAUAACUACUGGAAACGGUAGCUAAUACCGCAUACCAUCAGAUGUACCCAGAUGGGAUUAGCUAGUAGGUGUGGUAACGGCUCACCUAGGCGACGAUCCCUAUCUGGUCUGAGAGGAUGACCAGCAACACUGGAACUGAGACACGGCCCAGACUCCUACGGGAGGAAGCAGUGGGGAAUAUUGCACAAUGGGGGCAAGCCUGAUGCAGCAAUGCCGCGUGUGUGAAGAAGGCCUUCGGGUUGUAAAGCACUUUCAGCGAGGAGGCGUUACGGGCAGAAGAAGCACCGGCUAACUCCGUGCCAGCAGCCGCGGUAAUUC